rnacentral:rRNA from 1 species
GAUGAACGCUGGCGGCGUGCCUAAUACAUGCAAGUCGAGCGAACGGACGCGAAGCUUGCUUCUCUGACGUUAGCGGCGGACGGGUGAGUAACACGUGGAUCACCUACCUAUCAGACUGGGAUAACUUCGGGAAACCGGCGCUAAUCCCGGAUAAUCUUUUGAACCGCAUGGUUCAAUAGUAAAAGACGGUCUUGCUGUCACUUAUAGAUGCAUCCGCGCUGCAUUAGCUAGUUGGUAAGGUAACGGCUUACCAAGGCGACGAUGCGUAGCCGACCUGAGAGGGUGAUCGGCCACACUGGAACUGAGACACGGUCCAGACUCCUACGGGAGGCAGCAGUAGGGAAUCUUCCGCAAUGGGCGAAAGCCUGACGGAGCAACGCCGCGUGAGUGAUGAAGGUCUUCGGAUCGGAAAACUCUGUUAUGAGGGAAGAACAGAUGUGUAAGUAACUGUGCACAGCGUGACGGUACCUAAUCAGAAAGCCACGGCUAACUACGUG